UACUCGCGGUCCAAGUCGCAGCCAUCUUUAUUGGGUAUAAAACAUCCGUAGCUUGCUUGAUAAGUUUCUUGUGAAAUUUCAUAUCUUAAAUAUGAAGCGCGCAAGAAGUACUGUUGAGCUAGAGACUGGAAGACGUAAGAAGUACGUUUGGAGUAGCGGUAAAAUGUGUUAAUCCCAGACGGACUAACAACAGCGAAGGCAUCUUACGAGGACAGUUCUGACAGUAAGGGAUGAAGGCUAGGGGCGCAAAACG
rnacentral:rRNA from 1 species